GAGAGUAGUACAUCGAUGGGUGACCUCCUGAGAAGGCCUCGUGUUGCAACCC
rnacentral:rRNA from 1 species